rnacentral:tRNA from 1 species
GGGUCUAGCUCAGUGGUAGAGCGUCCGCUUUGCAUGCGGAAAGUCAUCGGUUCGAACCCGGUGAUCUC